CCCUUAGAUGUUCUGGGCCGCACGCGCGCUACACUGAUGCAUUCAACGAGUCUAAAACCUGCUCUGAUAGGGGUGGGUAAUCUUUUGAAUGUGCAUCGUGAUUGGGAUAGAUGAUUGCAAUUUUUCAUCUUCAACGAGGAAUGCCUAGUAAACGCAAGUCAUCAGCUUGCAUUGAUUACGUCCCUGCCCUUUGUACACACCGCCCGUUGCUCCUACCGAUUGAAUGAUCCGAUGAAUAUCAUGGAUUGAGGAUUAUAGCAGGUUCGCCUGUCUUGAUCUUCGAGAAGUGAAGUAAAUCUUAUCAUUUAGAGGAAGGAGAAGUCGUAACA
rnacentral:rRNA from 1 species